UAAGAAUAUUCCGCAAUGGACGAAAGUCUGACGGAGCGACGCCGCGUGGAUGAAGAAGGCCGAAAGGUUGUAAAGUUCUUUUGUUGGGGAAGAAUAACCAUGGGAGGGAAUGCCCGUGGGAUGACAUGAACCGACGAAUAAGCCCCGGCUAACUACGUGCCAGCAGCCGCGGUAACACGUAGGGGGCGAGCGUUGUUCGGAAUUACUGGGCGUAAAGGGCAUGUAGGCGGUCUUGUAAGCUUGGCGUGAAAGACCACGGCUCAACCGUGGGAUUGCGUUGAGAACUGCGAGGCUUGAGUGACGGAGAGGGAGCUAGAAUUCCUGGUGUAGGGGUGGAAUCUGUAGAGAUCAGGAAGAAUACCAAUGGCGAAGGCAAGCUCCUGGCCGAUGACUGACGCUGAGGUGCGAAAGUGUGGGGAUCAAAC
rnacentral:rRNA from 1 species